rnacentral:rRNA from 1 species
GGGUUGUGAGGUUAAGCGACUAAGCGUACACGGUGGAUGCCCUGGCAGUCAGAGGCGAUGAAGGACGUGCUAAUCUGCGAUAAGCGCCGGUAAGGUGAUAUGAACCGUUAUAACCGGCGAUUUCCGAAUGGGGAAACCCAGUGUGACUCGUCACACUAUCAUUAACUGAAUCCAUAGGUUAAUGAGGCGAACCGGGGGAACUGAAACAUCUAAGUACCCCGAGGAAAAGAAAUCAACCGAGAUUCCCCCAGUAGCGGCGAGCGAACGGGGAGGAGCCCAGAGCCUGAAUCAGCAUGUGUGUUAGUGGAAGCGUCUGGAAAGGCGCGCGAUACAGGGUGACAGCCCCGUACACAAAAGCGCAUGUGCUGUGAGCUCGAUGAGUAGGGCGGGACACGUGGUAUCCUGUCUGAAUAUGGGGGGACCAUCCUCCAAGGCUAAAUACUCCUGACUGACCGAUAGUGAACCAGUACCGUGAGGGAAAGGCGAAAAGAACCCCGGCGAGGGGAGUGAAAAAGAACCUGAAACCGUGUACGUACAAGCAGUGGGAGCACCCUUUGGGGUGUGACUGCGUACCUUUUGUAUAAUGGGUCAGCGACUUAUAUUCUGUAGCAAGGUUAACCGUAUAGGGGAGCCGUAGGGAAACCGAGUCUUAACCGGGCGUUAAGUUGCAGGGAGCUGCGGCAGCGAACGUAUCACCCAAGACAACUUUACGGAGUUGACGAUUGACGGAGCGAAGCGACGUCAAAGCGUUCAUUAAAGUCGAGUUGGCUUAGGGAUACGUUCGUUGGGUAGGGGAGCGUUCUGUAAGCCUGUGAAGGUGUGUCGUGAGGCAUGCUGGAGGUAUCAGAAGUGCGAAUGCUGACAUAAGUAACGAUAAAGCGGGUGAAAAGCCCGCUCGCCGGAAGACCAAGGGUUCCUGUCCAACGUUAAUCGGGGCAGGGUGAGUCGACCCCUAAGGCGAGGCCGAAAGGCGUAGUCGAUGGGAAACGGGUUAAUAUUCCCGUACUUGGUGUUACUGCGAAGGGGGGACGGAGAAGGCUAUGUUGGCCGGGCGACGGUUGUCCCGGUUUAAGCGUGUAGGUGUGUGUUCCAGGUAAAUCCGGUUCACUUUAACACUGAGGCGUGACGACGAGGCACUACGGUGCUGAAGCAACAAAUGCCCUGCUUCCAGGAAAAGCCUCUAAGCAUCAGGUAACAUCAAAUCGUACCCCAAACCGACACAGGUGGUCAGGUAGAGAAUACCAAGGCGCUUGAGAGAACUCGGGUGAAGGAACUAGGCAAAAUGGUGCCGUAACUUCGGGAGAAGGCACGCUGACACGUAGGUGAAGUGAUUUACUCAUGGAGCUGAAGUCAGUCGAAGAUACCAGCUGGCUGCAACUGUUUAUUAAAAACACAGCACUGUGCAAACACGAAAGUGGACGUAUACGGUGUGACGCCUGCCCGGUGCCGGAAGGUUAAUUGAUGGGGUCAGCGCAAGCGAAGCUCCUGAUCGAAGCCCCGGUAAACGGCGGCCGUAACUAUAACGGUCCUAAGGUAGCGAAAUUCCUUGUCGGGUAAGUUCCGACCUGCACGAAUGGCGUAAUGAUGGCCAGGCUGUCUCCACCCGAGACUCAGUGAAAUUGAACUCGCUGUGAAGAUGCAGUGUACCCGCGGCAAGACGGAAAGACCCCGUGAACCUUUACUAUAGCUUGACACUGAACAUUGAGCCUUGAUGUGUAGGAUAGGUGGGAGGCUUUGAAGUGUGGACGCCAGUCUGCAUGGAGCCGACCUUGAAAUACCACCCUUUAAUGUUUGAUGUUCUAACGUGGACCCGUUACCCGGGUUGCGGACAGUGUCUGGUGGGUAGUUUGACUGGGGCGGUCUCCUCCUAAAGAGUAACGGAGGAGCACGAAGGUUGGCUAAUCCUGGUCGGACAUCAGGAGGUUAGUGCAAUGGCAUAAGCCAGCUUGACUGCGAGCGUGACGGCGCGAGCAGGUGCGAAAGCAGGUCAUAGUGAUCCGGUGGUUCUGAAUGGAAGGGCCAUCGCUCAACGGAUAAAAGGUACUCCGGGGAUAACAGGCUGAUACCGCCCAAGAGUUCAUAUCGACGGCGGUGUUUGGCACCUCGAUGUCGGCUCAUCACAUCCUGGGGCUGAAGUAGGUCCCAAGGGUAUGGCUGUUCGCCAUUUAAAGUGGUACGCGAGCUGGGUUUAGAACGUCGUGAGACAGUUCGGUCCCUAUCUGCCGUGGGCGCUGGAGAACUGAGGGGGGCUGCUCCUAGUACGAGAGGACCGGAGUGGACGCAUCACUGGUGUUCGGGUUGUCAUGCCAAUGGCACUGCCCGGUAGCUAAAUGCGGAAGAGAUAAGUGCUGAAAGCAUCUAAGCACGAAACUUGCCCCGAGAUGAGUUCUCCCUGAGACUUAGAGUCUCCUGAAGGAACGUUGAAGACGACGACGUUGAUAGGCCGGGUGUGUAAGCGCAGCGAUGCGUUGAGCUAACCGGUACUAAUGAACCGUGAGGCUUAACCUUACAACGCCGAAG